CAGCCGCUGGGGGUAUACUGACCCAAAAAGGUUGAAAACCCCUGGCACAGCAGGAUCUCACUCAGACAUCAUCAACAGCUGAGUAGACCCAGAAGCAAAAACAAAACUCAAAUAAGUCAGCAGCCUUUUUUCUCUAAUGACUACGCUAGUUAGGAACAGCCACAGCAGUGAAAUAAAGCACCUGAUUGUGUCAUGCAGCAGGCAGCCUCCCUAAGCUGGGAUGCCUGGUACUGUGUAAAGAGAAGAACCAAUUAAACUGAUUAAAAAUUGGCUGAGAUGCAAGAAUAUGAUGGCAGCUGCCAGCAGAAAGAAGGGGAUGAGGGCAGAGGCAGGAGUGCAUUCGGGGACCCAUGCAAAGACCUUUUUCGUUCAUCUUGAAUGUAAGCAAUCUUGCAGAAAGGAGUGUUUCCAAAGGGGAUCUGGUUAACUGCAUUACAGUUGUAUUUAUAAAUGAUU